rnacentral:rRNA from 1 species
ACGGAAGGCAGCAGUAGGGAAUAUUGCACAAUGGGGGAAACCCUGAUGCAGCAACGCCACGUGUGGGAAGAAGCAUUUCGGUGUGUAAACCACUGUCGUGAAGGAAUAAUGCUGGACCUCGGUCCAGUUGAAUGUACUUUGAAAGGAGGCACCGGCAAACUUCGUGCCAGCAGCCGCGGUAGUACGAGGGGUGCAAGCGUUGUUCGGAAUCACUGGGCGUAAAGGGAGCGCAGGCGGAGAUGCAAGCAGUCUGUACAAUACCGGGGCCCAACCCCGGACCUGCAGACUGGACUGUUUCUCUUGGAUAGCUCAGGGGCUGGCGGAAUUCCUGGUGUAGCGGUGGAAUGCGUAGAGAUCAGGAAGAACACCGAUGGCGAAGGCAGCUUGCUGGGGACUUAUCGACGCUCAUGCUCGAAAGUGCGGGUAGCAAACAGGAUUAGAUACCCUGGUA